rnacentral:lncRNA from 1 species
AAAGCCAUAUAUGAUUGAAGGUUAUCAGUACUGUGCUUUUGGAGGAUUCAGAAGAAGUUAUAUCUGAUUGGGAGAUUGAAAAGGAUUGGCCUGAAGGAGAGGUGGUUUUUGAACUGCAUCUUAAAGGAUGAGGAAACUGAGGCUGAGAGGGUAGAGAACUUUGCCUGAGGUCACUCAGCAGGGACCCACCCAUCACAGUAAAUGCCAGCACUGCUGAUGCCAAAACAAUGUUAUUUGUAGGCCCUCGGAAUUUGUGACCUGAAGGAAGAAGAGCAGGGCCGUGGGAAGUAUGUAACCAGUGUCAUGCCCCUGGUCCCAAGGAAGCAGUGGCUUGGUAAAGAGGGGACCCCCGUCAAUAACUCCCUGUAAUUACUGGGCACCCACUCUGAGCUCCUCAGUGGAAUCCUAAGGUUAAUAAGACUGUCUCUAGCCACUGGGGCUCCCAGCCUGGAGUGAGGUAAGAGGAGUGGAGCCGGCUGGGGAGGGAGACGAACACAUACACAGAAGAUUCAGACACACUUGCAAUGUAUUGCUGGGGAUUCUCCAGCAUUGGCAUGAUGGAGAGGGUGGAGAAUCAUUUGACCGCCUCCGCCUAGGAUUGCAGAGUUCAGCUGGCCAUCAUCCACCAGCCGGGGGACUGUGCACAUCAGUUAACCUCUCCUCUCAGGCCUUGAAAAGCACCAGGCUUAGUACACGUUUGUUAAAUGAAUGCACUGCAGUUUUUUUGCUUGUUAAAGGCAGGUAAUAAUAAUGAUAUUGCUGACUAAGGGCUCCCAUCCACUCCCAGUGAGCCCGGUGCCCCCCCGGGCCUCCUCAGUGAGCUGAGGAGGCUCAGCAGUGCCUGCACGUCCCCUCGCCACAAUGUCAUGUGCCACCUCUUCAAAGGAGGGAUGUACCAGCUAGUGGACGUGACCUUGACUGCAAAGGGCGGCACGCAGCUGAUGUAAUGGUCGCUUAAGUGUUCACAAAUGCCUGAACACCCUGUCCUACCUGGUCCUACCUGGAUGCUGGCCUCAGUAAGCUCCUGGGCUCAUUGAAGAUGAACCUAGCAGUAGUAUUUACACCACUUGUUGUGUGCCCACUGUGGGCCCGGCGCCAUGCCGAGUGCUCUAUGGAUGUGAGAUGAGAACACUGAAGCAGUUUUUUCUAAAGAUAGCUGCCUGGCACAGUGGCUCACAUCUGUAGUCCCAGCAUUUGGGGAGGCCAAGGCAGGUGGAUCACUUGAGGCCAGGAAUUCAAGACCAGCAUGGCCAACAUGUGCUGGGAGAGAAAAGCAUACGACAUAGACAGGGAGGUCAAGCUCCACCACGCAGAUGAGGUGCAGGCCACCAGUCUUCCUCUGCCACAUCUCUUUCUGAAAAGGCAGCCUGUGCUGAGAAACCAUGACUGAGUAAGCCAAGCUUUGUUGGCCGCACCUGCCAAGCCACAGGGUGCCUCAGGCUUGGAGCAUCCCGGAGCCAGUUACAACCCAAGACUUCAGCCUUCUGGAAGGUGUUGGGUCAGCCACCCUGAAGGACGAUCCUGCCCAAGUGACAUGCUUUGCUCUUCCUUCUCACCCAGGACUUCACAUUCACCCUUGCAAUCCAUGUGGGGACACUGUUGGAUAGGAGGCGUGGUCCCAGCGUGGUCUCCCUGUCUGGGCCUCUGCCUAUGCCAAAUGUUUGCCUUACGCUGCACACUCAAGAGGUUCCAUGUAUACAGAUGGGAAUUCCAGAGCUACAGAAAAGGCAGCAAGCACCAUGAUUUAAGCUAACCAGUGUGGAUUCACACCUUCCUCUCUCUCUAUCAGUGGCAGAACUACCAGCUAGAGUAAGAAGUGGUUGAUCCAGGACCUAAACAUUCUGGAAACUCUUGCCCACUUCUGGGAGAAAUGACCCAAUCCAUAGUACUAAGCACACCUUAACUUUCGUAGGACGCAGGCAAGUUGUCAUACCGUGUGCCUAAAUAUAGAAAAA